rnacentral:rRNA from 1 species
CUGCGAACGGCUCAUUAAAUCAGUUGCGAUCUACUCGGCGUUCCGCGCCGCCGGAUAACCGUAGUAAUUCGUAGGGCUAAUACGUGCGAAGCGCCCGAAGCCGCGAGGCGACGGCGUUCUCGCCGGAUGUAGGAACCGACCCGGGGACCGCCGGGGCAACCCGGCGCCCCCCGAGACGGGGCGAACCACGGUGAAAUGACGGAUCGUCGGCCCCGCGCCGGCGACUCGCCGAAUGAGUUUCUGACCUAUCAACUCGAGACGGCGGGGUAGAGGCCCGCCGCGGUAACGACGGGUAACGGGGAAUCAGGGUUCGAUUCCGGAGAGGGAGCCCGAGAAACGGCUACCACUUCCAAGGAAGGCAGCAGGCGCGCAACUUACCCUAAUCUCGAUUCGAGGAGGUAGUGACAAGAAAUACCGAUGCGGG